rnacentral:rRNA from 1 species
CAGUAGCCGCGGUAAUACGUAGGUCCCGAGCGUUGUCCGGAUUUAUUGGGCGUAAAGCGAGCGCAGGCGGUUUCUUAAGUCUGAUGUGAAAGCCCCCGGCUCAACCGGGGAGGGUCAUUGGAAACUGGGAAACUUGAGUGCAGAAGAGGAGAGUGGAAUUCCACGUGUAGCGGUGAAAUGCGUAGAGAUGUGGAGGAACACCAGUGGCGAAGGCGACUCUCUGGUCUGUAACUGACGCUGAGGAGCGAAAGCGUGGGGAGCGAACAGGAUUAGAUACCCCAGUAGUCCCUGUCUCUUAUAA